rnacentral:rRNA from 1 species
UACGUAGGGUGCAAGCGUUGUCCGGAAUUAUUGGGCGUAAAGAGCUCGUAGGCGGUUUGUUGCGUCGGCUGUGAAAACCUGAGGCUCAACCUCAGGCCUGCAGUCGAUACGAGCAGACUAGAGUGUUGCAGGGGAGACUGGAAUUCCUGGUGUAGCGGUGAAAUGCGCAGAUAUCAGGAGGAACACCGGUGGCGAAGGCGGGUCUCUGGGCAACAACUGACGCUGAGAAGCGAAAGCAUGGGGAGCGAACAGG